GUCAUGGCUCAGGAUGAACGCUAGCUACAGGCUUAACACAUGCAAGUCGAGGGGCAGCGGGAAGUCAGCUUGCUGACUUUGCCGGCGACCGGCGCACGGGUGAGUAACACGUAUCCAACCUUCCCGUUACUCUGGAAUAGCCUUUCGAAAGAAAGAUUAAUACCGGAUAGUAUCGAGAGAUUGCAUGAUUACCCGAUUAAAGAUUCAUCGGUAACGGAUGGGGAUGCGUUCCAUUAGGCAGUUGGCGGGG
rnacentral:rRNA from 1 species